AUGGGCCAGAUCCAGUACUCCGAGAAGUACUUCGACGACACCUUCGAGUACAGGCACGUGGUCCUCCCGCCGGAAGUCGCCAAGCUCCUCCCCAAGAACCGCCUCCUCGCCGAGAACGAGUGGCGCGCGCUGGGCGUGCAGCAGAGCCGCGGGUGGGUGCACUACGCCGUCCACCGGCCGGAGCCGCACAUCAUGCUGUUCCGCCGCCCGCUCAACUACCAGCAGCAGCAGGACGCGGCUGCUGCCGCCGCGGCGCAGAUGAUGCCCAAGUGA
rnacentral:rRNA from 1 species